CCCGCUCUCCGGGCAGACCGCGGACGAGAACCAAAAGGAGAGAUAAGCAUGUAGUAGCCAGGUCUCACUGCUCUCGGACGCGGGUUCAACUCCCGCCGCCUCCACCA
rnacentral:tmRNA from 1 species